rnacentral:rRNA from 1 species
AUUGAACGCUGGCGGCAGGCCUAACACAUGCAAGUCGAACGAGUGGCGGACGGGUGAGUAAUGUCUGGGAAACUGCCUGAUGGAGGGGGAUAACUACUGGAAACGGUAGCUAAUACCGCAUACCAUCGGAUGUGCCCAGAUGGGAUUAGCUAGUCGGGGGGGUAACGGCUCACCUAGGCGACGAUCCCUAGCUGGUCUGAGAGGAUGACCAGCAACACUGGAACGGAGACACGGUCCAGACUCCUACGGGAGGCAGCAGUGGGGAAUAUUGCACAAUGGGCGCAAGCCUGAUGCAGCAAUGCCGCGUGUAUGAAGAAGGACUUCGGGUUGUAAAGGACUUUCAGCGGGGAGGCGUUACCCGCAGAAGAAGCACCGGCUAACUCCGUGCCAGCAGCCGCGGUAAUUC